UGGGGAAUAUUGCACAAUGGGCGCAAGCCUGAUGCAGCAACGCCGCGUGAGGGACGACGGCCUUCGGGUUGUAAACCUCUUUUAGUAGGGAAGAAGCGAAAGUGACGGUACCUGCAGAAAAAGCACCGGCUAACUACGUGCCAGCAGCCGCGGUAAUACGUAGGGUGCGAGCGUUGUCCGGAAUUAUUGGGCGUAAAGAGCUCGUAGGCGGUCUGUCGCGUCUGCUGUGAAAACCCGAGGCUCAACCUCGGGCCUGCAGUGGGUACGGGCAGACUAGAGUGCGGUAGGGGAGAAUGGAAUUCCUGGUGUAGCGGUGGAAUGCGCAGAUAUCAGGAGGAACACCGAUGGCGAAGGCGAGUCUCUGGGCCAGUAACUGACGCUGAGGAGCGAAAAGCGUGGGGAGCGAACAGGAUUAGAUACCCUGGUAGUCCACGCCGUAAACGUUGGGCGCUAGAUGUGGGGACCAUUCCACGGUUUCCGUGUCGCAGCUAACGCAUUAAGCGCCCCGCCUGGGGAGUACGGCCGCAAGGCUAAAACUCAAAUGAAUUGACGGGGUCAUAGCUG
rnacentral:rRNA from 1 species